GAUAAGUUGGAGUGCUCUUAGAGACACUGCAGUCUCACUCCUUAAUCCUGCUGGAACAUUAACAGCAUCACGGGAUGUCUCCUUUGAAUGUCAAGAUUAAGAACGUAAUCCUUUAAAAUUUGGCUCAGACAUACACAGAAGUGAAAUUAGGUUUUUCACUUUUUAAAAGGAUGGCAGAAAGAUACUCUAUAGGUACUGUUAUGGGUACCGAGGAUACAGAGAUGCUAAAACAACCACCAAAUGGAAGACUUUAACUACUUGAUGAUAGUGAUCAGUUAGCCCGCAGACCUACUGACGCCUGAGGAUUGAUAAUGUCAACUGCCCUGUUACCUCACCAUCAACCAGAGAAUUGUGCCUGAGCUGAUCACAUACCCUCGGACACCCUUCCCUCACCGGGUCUUUAAAAAUGCUUUGCUGAAACCCGUGGGGGAGUUCAGGGUUUUUUUGAGCAGAAGCCGCCUGUUCUCCUUGCAUGGCCCUGUAAUAAACC